rnacentral:rRNA from 1 species
GAAUGCUAAUACCGCAUACGUCCUACGGGAGAAAGCAGGGGAUCUUCGGACCUUGCGCUAAUAGAUGAGCCUAAGUCGGAUUAGCUAGUUGGUGGGGUAAAGGCCUACCAAGGCGACGAUCUGUAGCGGGUCUGAGAGGAUGAUCCGCCACACUGGGACUGAGACACGGCCCAGACUCCUACGGGAGGCAGCAGUGGGGAAUAUUGGACAAUGGGCGCAAGCCUGAUCCAGCCAUGCCGCGUGUGUGAAGAAGGCCUUAUGGUUGUAAAGCACUUUAAGCGAGGAGGAGGCUACUUUAGUUAAUACCUAGAGAUAGUGGACGUUACUCGCAGAAUAAGCACCGGCUAACUCUGUGCCAGCAGCCGCGGUAAUACAGAGGGUGCAAGCGUUAAUCGGAUUUACUGGGCGUAAAGCGCGCGUAGGCGGCUAAUUAAGUCAAAUGUGAAAUCCCCGAGCUUAACUUGGGAAUUGCAUUCGAUACUGGUUAGCUAGAGUGUGGGAGAGGAUGGUAGAAUUCCAGGUGUAGCGGUGAAAUGCGUAGAGAUCUGGAGGAAUACCGAUGGCGAAGGCAGCCAUCUGGCCUAACACUGACGCUGAGGUGCGAAAGCAUGGGGAGCAAACAGGAUUAGAUACCCUGGUAGUCCAUGCCGUAAACGAUGUCUACUAGCCGUUGGGGCCUUUGAGGCUUUAGUGGCGCAGCUAACGCGAUAAGUAGACCGCCUGGGGAGUACGGUCGCAAGACUAAAACUCAAAUGAAAUUGACGGGGGCC